AACCAUUUCUUUUCUUUUCUUUUUGAGAUAGAGUCUCGCUGUUGUUGCCUGGGCUGGAGUGCAAUGGCGCCAUCUUGGUUCACUACAACCUGCACCUCCCGGGUUUCAGGAAUUCUCCUGCUUCAGCCUCCCAAGUAGUUGAGAUUACAGAUUUACAACAAACAUGAAUCUCGUGGGUGCCCCGGCUCAUCCACUGAGAUGUCCUCUUCAGCCUGACUAUAUGGAGGUCCAGUCUGACUUGCACCUGCUCAGUCUUUUGACUUUAUCUUCUGGCUCCCCAAGAUGUCCCAGCCGCCAGAGAUCAGAACACACACUGGAAUGAAGGCCCCAGUGGAGGAGUUCUCACAGGGAGGCAGAUGCUGUUGGAAGGAGAGAGCCUGGAAUGUCCAUCGUGGUCAAGAGAAAUGUGUAUGUGGGUGUGUGGGAGGGUAUCAAGGGAAGUGAUCACUGCCAAGCUGUUCUGUUGUUUAACUGCCAAAGCAUUCCCGGGAUAUUUUUCCUAGUAGCUAGGAUUAGAGAGCUUGUAAGUUUCAACAAUACCUCCAUCUAUUCCAAGUACAAGCACUUUUUUGGUAAACAUAAUUUUAAUUCUAAAAAGACGCUAAGAUUAAGGAAACUUUGAAACAAAAUGACCACUCAGAAUUCCAUUACUCUUAAGUAGGUGAUAUUGUAUUUUUGUGUUUUCUUCUAGUCCAAAUACUCUCUUUUUUUUUUUUUUUUUUGAGACGGAGUUUCGCUCUUGUUACCCAGGCUGGAGUGCAAUGGCGGGAUCUCGGCUCACUGCAACCUCCGCCCCCUGGGUUCAGGCAAUUCUGCUGCCUCAGCCUCCUGAGUAGCUAGGAUUACAGGCACACACCACCAUGCCCAGCUAAUUUUUUGUAAUUUUUAGUAGAGACGGGGUUUCACCAUGUUGACCAGGAUGGUCUCGAUCUGCUGACCCGCCUCGGCCUCCCAAAGUGCUGGGAUUACAGGCUUGAGCCACCGUGCCCGGCCCCAAAUACUCUCUUUAACAAGACUUUUGUGUAAGUUUCCUCUUGGCAUAAUAUCUGCUAAAGCAGCUUCUAACACCCAACAAGCUGGGAACAAUUCUACAUCACUCUGCAUCUAGGUGGAAAGUUGAACAUCAGAGAUAAAUUAUUAAUACCUACAAAUAUAAUUUCAUGCCUAUUUGCAAGACUCUCCAUUUCCACAACUGCUAAUCAGUGACUGUAUAGCUUGCUGAAGUAAAGGAAGGCAAACAUUGUGGGUGAGAACCUCUUCUUAGUUCUCCAGAACGGACAAGGGAUCGUCCAUCCUAAUUCACUGUUUAGUAAGAAAACUGAGGCCCAGAAAGGUCACAAAGCUAAUAAGUACUAGAGCUCAGACUCGAACCAAGACCUUAAAAAAUAAGACUUAUGGAAAAGUUACAAAAAUAGUGCAGAGGGUUUAUGGGUAACCUUCACGCAGCUUUCCCUCAUGUUAAUAAUUACUCAUAGUUAAAGAUAAAAACCAGAAAAUUAACGUCAGUAACAUUGGUACAAUACUAUUAAAUUACAGACCUAAUUUGAAUUUUAUGAGUUUUCUCGCUAGUGUCUUUUUUUUUUUCCUACUGUUGUUAGUUCUA